AACGAACGCUGGCGGCAUGCCUAACACAUGCAAGUCGAACGAUUGCCUUCGGGUGAUAGUGGCGCACGGGUGCGUAACGCGUGGGAAUCUGCCCUUAGGUUCGGAAUAACAGCUGGAAACGGCUGCUAAUACCGGAUGAUAUCGCGAGAUCAAAGAUUUAUCGCCUGAGGAUGAGCCCGCGUUGGAUUAGGUAGUUGGUGGGGUAAAGGCCUACCAAGCCGACGAUCCAUAGCUGGUCUGAGAGGAUGAUCAGCCACACUGGGAAUGAGACACGGCCCAGACUCCUACGGGAGGCAGCAGUGGGGAAUAUUGGACAAUGGGCGCAAGCCUGAUCCAGCAAUGCCGCGUGAGUGAUGAAGGCCCUAGGGUUGUAAAGCUCUUUUACCCGGGAAGAUAAUGACUGUACCGGGAGAAUAAGCCCCGGCUAACUCCGUG
rnacentral:rRNA from 1 species